rnacentral:rRNA from 1 species
AUGAGUACAGCACGACACCCGCAGACGGACGGGCAAACAGAGCGGGUCAAUCAGUGCCUGGAGACAUUCCUUCACUGUUUCGUCAAUGCAUGCCCAACCAAAUGGUGCGUCUGGCUUCCACUAGCGGAGUUCUGGUACAACACUUCGCCGCACUCGGCCCUGGGUACGUCUCCUGUUGAGGUCCUCUAUGGCCAUGCCCCUCGUCAUUUCGGCAUCGUCGAUCCAGUGGCAUGUACUUCUCCAGACCUGGCAGACUGGCUUCAAGACAGGGCGCAGAUGACGGCACUCAUCCACCAACAUCUGUUGCGUGCACGACAGCAGAUGAAGGACUCAGCAGACAAGCGCCGCUCUGAUCGCACCUUCGCUGUUGACGACUGGGUUUUCCUCAAAUUGCAACCCUACGUGCAGCGUUCGGUGGCCACCCGUGCUAAUCAAAAGUUGGCAUUUCGCUACUUCGGCCCGUACCAGGUUGUCCAGCGCAUUGGUGCCGUCGCAUACAAGUUUCGCCUACCGGAGUCCAGCACCAUGCAUCCAGUCUUCCACGUCUCCCAGCUCCGUCAAGCGCUACCGCCCACGGAGCAGGCGCAAGUUCAACUGCCAGCAGCAGCGGCUUCAAGUCCGGUGCCGGAAGAGAUCCUACAGGACCGUCAAGUCCAGCGGGGCGGCACUCAGGUACCACAGGUCCUGGUACGGUGGACAGAUCAACCAUCUGAACUUGCAACUUGGGAAGAUCGCAUGGAGCUGCUGCAACACUUUCCGAGGGCGCCAGCUUGGGGACAAGCUGUGUCUCAUGGAGGGGGGGAUGUCACGGCCCCUGACAUGGCGACCCCACCGACUGCAACCAAGACAGCUCCUGUUGGGCUGGAACGACCUCGCCGACAGCCCAAGCCCAACAGUCGCUUCCUGGCCCAAGUGUGGGAUACCACGGGCAGGGUUAAAGGGAGACCGAGCCCUCCUGCGUGA